CACUUUUUUUUUUAUAUUUUUGUUUCUGUAGGAGCAAAACAGCCUGGUAGCUCUUCACCAUUGGGGGCAGUUGUUGGAGGGAUCAUUGGGGUCAUUGUACUCAUCUGUGUGGUUGCUGCCAUUUGGUGGUUAAAAUCAAAACACACAAGUUCACAACAGACACAGUUUUCACAGAGCCUAACAACUAAGGAGCCAACUGUUCAAAAACCAGCCAGAUCAGCGGAAAAAGAGGAAAUCCAUUAUGGAGAAAUCGACUUCUCUAAGUGGAGACCUGAAACAUCCUCUGCCUCAGUACAGGACAAUGCACUGCAGCAGGAUACACUGUAUGCACAGGUCAAAGUGUCCAAAAAAGCAAACCGCUUAACACAGACUGCUGACAACCCAGAGGCUCUCUAUGCUCAAGUCAAGAAAAAAUGAAUAUGGACGCAUCUUUUUUUAAACAAAUAAUGUUCAUUAAUACAAGGAAAUCAAUAAUGCUAAUUCUAAUUCAUCACACGUAGUAUGAUUUGCUCAAAACAUGCAUCUUAUUUAUUUAUUCAUAGAUUUGUGUUUUGAUCAAUGAUCAAGUGGAGUCAUUGUGACCCACAUUUGUGAGUAAACAUGAUCAAAAUCAUACCAUUUGAUGACAAGAAAUUUUAAAUAACUAAGAGGAAUAGUUACUUGACUUAUGACAAAUGUUUUUUAUAUCAAGCUUAAAUUGAUAGCAACAAUAAAUACCGUACAAACAAAUGUGACAUUUCCUGUAUAAAUAAGAUGAUGACAAAUAAAUUAGUCAAAUAUUUGCACAAUC